rnacentral:misc_RNA from 1 species
UGUAAAAUUGUAGUUAAUCCAUUUUUAGUCUGGACCCGGAACAAUACCAACAUUGCAUUAUAACGAGGACGGUUUUCACGCGGAAUAGGACUUCUACUUUUUGUUUCGUUUUAGAAUAAUCAAGCCGACGUUGUUGUCAUCAGAAGAGGAAGUAUAAGCUGAGAGAGCCAGAAAUUGACGACUAUGGCAUUUCCCUGGGCAUACAAACCUCAGGCUUGGGACUCCACUGAGUUGAGUGACUUCCUGAAUGGACAAGGAGCAUACCAGAUGGAGGGCGAUGACUUUACGGUCAAUAUCCUUUUCCGCAAUGACAAUGAUGAAAUUGAACAGAAAACUUUACCCAUCAGCAUUAAUCAUGUGCAGAGUUUGAUCGCGACCGGAGAAGAAUCCGUUCUCUUCACACAAAUACGAUACAUCACAACAAAACCCAACCUAAUGACAGAUUCAGAUAAAGACAUAAUAACAUUUUCCUACCGCGAAGCAAGUGAUGAAGACAUCAACAAGAAAACAAGAUAUGUUUAUAUGAAAACCACAAGUGCUGAUCAGACUGGGAGAAUUAUAAACAGGUUUCGCCAACUUCAGUUUCGACCAUUGGAAGUGAUAGAGGAUAUCUCCCAAGCCAGGAUAGUGUUCGAGGCUUUCGUUCCAACGUUUGUUGAUCGUAUCAAUGUAGUGGUGACUGAUCUGAGAUCAAAUACGCAAGUUGAAGACAAGCAGUUUGUCGUUACUCAGGACCAGGAGUGUAUGUGUCUGUUCUCUCGCUCGUACAGUACCAAGCCUGACUAUCAGGUUAACUUCUGGAAGGAAGAAGGGGAGAAUGUCGUGGAGAAGUGUGCUGUCAUCCAUGCCACACAGCAAUUUGAGAUCUCAACACCAUCAUAUAUUUACCACUUGAAAAGGAGUGCUACGGUGGACCAGCUGGUGAGGAACAUAACCAAGAUGAAACCAAGGCCAAGGUACCAGUUGUUUGAUCCAGUAGCCAUGGUAAAGAAACAGCAGCGUUUGAAUAUGGAACCAGUGGAUGAUAAUCCCAUCUCUAGAAAUGUUGAUCACAUCGCUGGAAAUGUUGAACAAUUUACGUACACACGGGACACAGAAACAGCAUUAGCCGAGUCGAGGAGGACCUUCCUCCGAAACUUUAAAGACAAACUGGAGACUGCCUACCAGGUAGGCGAAUCCAACAUGGACUGGCACGCCAUCUGGGAGCCGAAUGAACUGACUAUCAGAGAGCUGCUGGAGAAUCCCGAACUCUUCCCAGAGAAAGAUGCACGUAGUGGAGGCUUGGACCCUGAUUCAAUUGACCAUUUCACUGCAUGUACAGACGACAUCGUGGACAAAGUGUUUUGUCAGGAGUGUGCAGCUGCAUUUUCAUCUCUGAAGAACCUCCGGGAAAUCUUUAGUGAGUGUAGUUAUCCCGAAAUGGCCCCCAUCUUGUCAGAUGAUGACUACACUCUGUUGAAGAAACUUGUGUUCAAGAACCUGUAUGAACAGCCAUGGUAGGAUGGUCAGACAGUAACAAAUGAGAACUGCCAUUGUGGGAUGGUCAGACAGUAACAAAUGAGAACUGCCAUGGUAGGAUGGUCAGACAGUAACAAAUGAGAACAGCCAUUGCAGGAUGGUCAGACAGUAACAAAUGAGAACAGCCAUUGUAGGAGGGUCAUACAGUAACAAAUGAGAACAGCCAUUGUAGGAGGGUCAUACAGUAACAAAUGAGAACAGCCAUUGUGGGAGGGGUCAUACAGUAACAAAUGAGAACAGCCAUUGUGGGAGGGUCAUACAGUAACAAAUGAGAACAGCCAUUGUGGGAGGGUCAUACAGUAACAAAUGAGUACAGCCAUUGUGGGAGGGUCAUACAGUAACAAAUGAGAACAGCCAUUGUAGGAGGGUCAUUCAGUAACAAAUGAGAACAGCCAUUGUAGGUGUGUUAUUCGCUGACAAAUAAUCAUUGUAAGAGGAUUAUACAGAUGGUUGGCUUAAGCCUUAUAGAAUGUGCCUUUGCUGUCUAUUUUUCACAGAUAUGUCUUAUUACAUAAGCCUCCAGUGAAUAUCCAUAUUUGAAAUGCUACUUAAACCUAGCAGUUUGUGAACAUGCCUGUUUGUCUGCUUUUCUCUGCCUUUGCCU